UACGGAGGGUGCAAGCGUUGUUCGGAAUUACUGGGCGUAAAGCGCGCGUAGGCGGUGAUCUUUGUCAGAGGUGAAAGCCCGGGGCUCAACUCCGGAAUUGCCUUUGAAACGGGAUCGCUAGAGUCCGAGAGAGGAUGGCGGAAUUCCUAGUGUAGAGGUGAAAUUCGUAGAUAUUAGGAAGAACACCGGUGGCGAAGGCGGCCAUCUGGCUCGGUACUGACGCUCAGGCGCGAAAGCGUGGGGAGCAAACAGG
rnacentral:rRNA from 1 species